rnacentral:rRNA from 1 species
GAUGAACGCUGGCGGCGUGCCUAAUACAUGCAAGUCGAGCGACCAGACGAGAAGCUUGUUCCUCUGACGUUAGCGGCGGACGGGUGAGUAACACGUGGAUAACCUACCUAUAAGACUGGGAUAACUUCGGGAAACCGGAGCUAAUACUGCAUAAUAUAUUGAACCGCAUGGUUCAAUAGUGAAAGACGGUUUUGCUGUCACUUAUAGAUGAAUCCGCGCCGCAUUAGCUAGUUGGUAAGGUAACGGCUUACCAAGGCAACGAUGCGUAGCCGACCUGAGAGGGUGAUCAGCCACACUGGAACUGAGACACGGUCCAGACUCCUACGGGAGGCAGCAGUAGGGAAUCUUCCGCAAUGGGCGAAAGCCUGACGGAGCAACGCCGCGUGAGUGAUGAAGGUCUUCGGAUCGUAAAACUCUGUUAUUAGGGAAGAACAAAUGUGUAAGUAACUAUGCACGUCUUGACGGUACCUAAUGAGAAAGCCACGGCUAACUACGUG